rnacentral:rRNA from 1 species
CCAGACUCCUACGGGAGGCAGCAGUGGGGAAUAUUGGGCAAUGGGCGCAAGCCUGACCCAGCAACGCCGCGUGAAGGAAGAAGGCUUUCGGGUUGUAAACUUCUUUUGACAGGGAAGAGUAGAAGACGGUACCUGUCGAAUAAGCCACGGCUAACUACGUGCCAGCAGCCGCGGUAAUACGUAGGAGGCAAGCGUUAUCCGGAAUGACUGGGCGUAAAGGGUGCGUAGGUGGUUUGACAAGUUAGUAGCGCAACUCCGGAGCUUAACUUCGGAACUACUACUAAAACUGUUGGACUUGAGUGCAGGAGGGGCAAUCGGAAUUCCUAGUGUAGCGGUGGAAUGCGUAGAUAUUAGGAGGAACACCAGUGGCGAAGGCGGAUUGCUAGACUGUAACUGACACUGAGGCACGAAAGCGUGGGGAGCAAACAGGAUUAGAUACCCUAGUACG